CUUCCCCUCAGCCGUUGCCAAAAUUACAUGCUACACAAUACUUUUUUCUUUUUUUUUCCACGUAUGUGUGUUAUGCGUUGUGUUAAUAACACACAACAAGCUCACAUACAAGUCAAAGUUACGAUGUUAAUUCAAGGAUUGUGGGUAGUGUAGUACUUCGGCCAAAACCACAAAGAUUUAUGGCUUGCAGAAGAACCAUAUACCCUCAAUUAAAAACUGCAGAGGUUGUUGUAGGCUUGUUGUUCCACCGUCCACCGUUCCGCCACUAAGAGACUGCCCUGCCCAGAGGGCCUGCUCAGUGUCGCCAGAUAGAGCAAUCAGCAGAGACAGAGAGAGUAACAAGGGAGACGAAGAGAGAGGGUACAUACCCACUUCACCGCCAGCCUUCCUCUUUCACACUCCCAGACACAUCCUCUGCUCAGAGGCCGGCAGGAAGGGAAGGGAGGAAGGGAGAGAGCACAAGAGGGACGGAGGGAAAGCGGGCACUCCGCCCUCUAAAUGAUCCAGAUGGUGAGCGAGCACCAUAAUAACCAGAGGACUGUGACACACUAACAGAGCUUUUUGACUGAGGCUAAUAGUUCCCUCUGGACUGAAAUGUGGAGUGAUGUAGCUUUCUCGUCGAAGGGUGGAGAUGCAUCCUUUAUAACUACAGAGCAAAUGUAUAUAGGAAAUACAAAAGGGUGACCUCUGCCAGUUUCUCUAUAACUUUUCCACCCCCUUUAUUUAUUGAUGUCAGUUGUGGGAUAUGCAGCUGUGUGUUUUGUGGUCACCCUCCCCUGUCACCACCUUAAAUGAAACACCACCCAACGGAUCGAAGGGAACGGGAAGUCUAUUUCAGAAGUAGUCAUCCAAACACAGGGAGGACUUCCUGUCUGACAUUCCUGACCUGUGCUGAC